UCCAUUUCACGGAUCCACAUAAACUGAAAAGGAACAAGAGUCGGUGAGACCAAAGAGCACUGAAGGCCAUGAACCACCACCAUUCUCAACCCCUGGGCCAGGCAAGAAAAGCCACGGUUCCUGGAAGGGAUGACGACAGGCUUACUGAAUUAUUUUCAUCCAUGCCCUUUUAAAAUAUGGUUGGUAGAAAUUUGCCAUUUGAGACUAGAAUC
rnacentral:lncRNA from 1 species